rnacentral:misc_RNA from 1 species
GAUGAAGAACGUAGUGAAAUGCGAUAAGUAAUAUGAAUUGCAGAAUUCAGUGAAUCAUCGAAUCUUUGAACGCACCUUGCGCUCCCUGGUAUUCCGGGGAGCACGCCUGUUCGAGUGUCGCGAAAUUCUUCAAGCCUUGGAUGGAUUUUUUUUUGUCUGUCCUUGGGCUUGGUUGUUGGGCUUUGCCGUGUCCUUCAUUGGGACGGCUGGCCUUAAAAGCAUUAGCCGAUCCUCGUGUGGUACUGGUUCUACUCAGCGUGAUAACAGUCUGAUCGUUGAGGACAUCUUCUGGAUGGCCAGUCAUCAUUUGGGUUGCUUCUAAACCGGUUUCGCAGAUUGCUCAAUCUGUGUGCCACUUUUCAGCUUUGACCUCGAAUCAGGUGGGACUACCCGCUGAACUUAAGCAUAUCAAUAAGCGGAGGA